rnacentral:rRNA from 1 species
GAUGAACGCUGGCGGCGUGCUUAACACAUGCAAGUCGAACGGAAAGGCCCAAGCUUGCUUGGGUACUCGAGUGGCGAACGGGUGAGUAACACGUGGGUGAUCUGCCCUGCACUUCGGGAUAAGCCUGGGAAACUGGGUCUAAUACCGGAUAGGACCACUUCUUGGAUGUUGUGGUUGAAAGUUUUCUCGGUGUGGGAUGAGCUCGCGGCCUAUCAGCUUGUUGGUGGGGUAAUGGCCUACCAAGGCGUCGACGGGUAGCCGGCCUGAGAGGGUGUACGGCCACAUUGGGACUGAGAUACGGCCCAGAGUCCUACGGGAGGCAGCAGUGGGGAAUAUUGCACAAUGGGCGCAAGCCUGAUGCAGCGACGCCGCGUGGGGGAUGACGGCCUUCGGGUUGUAAACUCCUUUCGCUAGGGACGAAGCGUUUUUGUGACGGUACCUGGAGAAGAAGCACCGGCUAACUACGUG